AGUGAACGCUGGCGGUAGGCCUAACACAUGCAAGUCGUACGGCAGCACAGUAAGAGCUUUCUCUUACUGGUGGCGAGUUGCGUACGGGUGAGGAAUACAUCGGAAUCUACUUUUUCGUGGGGGAUAACGUAGGGAAACUUACGCUAAUACCGCAUACGACCUACGGGUGAAAGCAGGGGCUCUUCGGACCUUGCGCGAUUUCAUGAGCCGAUGUCGGAUUAGCUAGUUGGCGGGGUACCGGCCCACCAAGGCGACGAUCCGUAGCUGGUCUGAGGGGAGGAUGAGCCACACUGGAACUGAGACACGGUACAGACACCUACGGGAGGCAGCAGUGGGGAAGAUUGGAAAAAGGGCGCAAGACUGAACAAGCCAUACAGCGUGGGUGAAGAAGGGCGUCGGGUUGUAAAGCCCUUUUGUGGGGAAAGAAAAGCAGCAGGUUAAUACCACGCUGUUCUGACGGUACCCAAAGAAUAAGCACCGGCUAACUUCGUG
rnacentral:rRNA from 1 species